CCUCCAUUCUUGGCAUGUACUUGGCAUGUACAUUCUUGUACUCGUGUGUAUGUGUUAUGGAGGUAGAACAAGUCCAGUGCCAUGGCUUCGGUGGCAGUGUUCCCUGUCUUCUGGUUCUAUCCUCAGGCGCUGGGGCGUUC